rnacentral:rRNA from 1 species
GCCAGACUCCUACGGGAGGCAGCAGUGGGGGAUAUUGCACAAUGGGGGAAACCCUGAUGCAGCGACGCCGCGUGAGUGAAGAAGUAUUUCGGUAUGUAAAGCUCUAUCAGCAGGGAAGAAGAUGACAGUACCUGAGUAAGAAGCCCCGGCUAACUACGUGCCAGCAGCCGCGGUAAUACGUAGGUGGCGAGCGUUGUCCGGAAUUACUGGGUGUAAAGGGAGCGUAGGCGGGAGAGCAAGUCGACUGUGAAAUCUAUGGGCUUAACCCAUAGCUGCGAUCGAAACUGUUCAUCUUGAGUGAAGUAGAGGCAGGCGGAAUUCCUAGUGUAGCGGUGAAAUGCGUAGAUAUUAGGAGGAACACCAGUGGCGAAGGCGGUCUGCUGGACAGCAACUGACGGUGAGGCGCGAAAGCGUGGGGAGCAAGCAGGAUUAGAUACCCGCGUAU